ACUUACCUGCAGUACCCCAGAGAAAAGAAUUUAAUUUUCCAGAGGCUGGUUCCUCUUCUGGUGCCUUAUUCCCAAGUGCUGUUUCCCCUCCAGAACUGCGACAGAGACUACAUGGGGUAGAACUCUUAAAAAUAUUUAAUAAAAAUCAAAAAUUAGGCAGUUCAUCUACUAGCAUACCACAUCUGUCAUCCCCACCAACCAAAUUUUUUGUUAGUACACCAUCUCAGCCAAGUUGCAAAAGCCACUUGGAAACUGGAACCAAAGAUCAAGAAACUGUUUGCUCUAAAGCUACAGAAGGAGAUAAUACAGAAUUUGGAGCAUUUGUAGGUAAGUUUGGCAAAUUCGUAUUUGUAUAUCAAUAUUAUUUACUUUUCACCUUAGAAAUAAUAGAAAUAUGUACUGUUACAAGUCAUUAUCUUUUCAUAGAGUAUAAUUAUAAAAUUUUUAAAAAGAGAAGCUGAAAGCUGCAGUGGGCUGUGAUCACACAACUGCACCAUAGCCUGUGUGACAGAAUGAGACCCUGUCUCUAGAAAUGAAAUGAAUAUUCACAGAGAACAUUUCAAAAAGGAAUGACUUAUUCUUAUACCUAUGAUAGCUUAAAUAAGAUAAGAACAAAAAAAAAUGUUUAUUUUGGCAGUAACACAUUAAAGACCUUAGUGAAAACUUUCAUGCAUAGAGAUUAUUCAGACAGUAUGUUAAUAAGCCCAUGGAAAAUUGCCACAUUAAGGCCAGCCUAGGAAGUUAUCUAGGCACUAAACAUGUUGAUAUUACUUCUAGGCUAUAUGGGAUUCACUCUAGAUACAUAGAUAUAACUUUUCCUACGUUAAAUAUAUUCCCCCUUUUUUUUUUUUUUUUAAAAGACGGAGUCUCCCUCUGUCGCCCAGGCGGGAGUGCAGUGGCACAAUCUCGGCUCGCUGCAACCUCUGCCUCCCAGAUUCAAGUGAUUCUCCUGCCUCAGCCUCCUGAGUAGCUGAGAUUACAGGCACACGCCACCACACCUGGCUAAUUUCCAAUUUAUUUUUAAAAAUGCAUUUUAGCCUAUUUGUUAAUGUAUUACCAGUGGGGUGUAUGUAUAUAUCAUAUAUAUUUUCUCUACAUGUAUAUUAUAUAGGAAAAGUUACAUAUCUGUAUAUCUAGAGUGAAUUCCAUAUAGCCUAGCAGUAAGUAUCAGCAUGUUCAGUGCCUGAAUAACUUGCUAGACUGGUCUUAAUGUGGAGAUUAUACAUGGGCUUAUUAACAUGUUGUCUGAACAAUCUCUAUGUGUGGAACAGUUUUCAUUAAGGUCAUUAAAGUGUUAUUGCCAAAAUAUUUUUGUUCUGUUUUUGUUUAAGUUAUAGGCAUAAGAAUAAAUCAUUCCUUUUUGAGUGAUUAUCCGUAUAUAUGUAAUGCUUUUUUUUUUAAGAGAUGCCUAAAUAUGAGGUAAAGUCUCUUUAGUAUAUGCAGAAGUCAGAAAGUCAGCUUAAAAUAUACCCAUGUGCUUUUAGAUGGAGGAAAUAGGUGUAGGUUCAGCGGACCUAUCAUAAGACUAUAAUUUGCAGUGUUUUCUAACCAUUUUAAUUAUGGCAUAUUUAGACUGAGAGCUAAAUAAAUGGAUCAAGUUCACUUAGGUAGCCUUAGCUGACACACGAUAAAAAGAGAAAGAAGAAAAGCGGGAAUGAGAAAAAGUGCUAGAAAGAAGAAAGAACAGACUGCUGUCUACCAAAUUGGUUUUAUAAUUAUUGCCAUAUGACAUAUGGAAUAUCUGUAUUCCAUAUAGGGUUGAAGUAGAUUUUAUAGGUAAAUGAAAUGUUUUAUGGACUUUCAUAAGUUUUAGUAAAGCUGUUUAUAAUGUAGAAUUAUUUAAACCUAAGUUCAUCACAUUUUCUUUUUCUUUACACAAAUUAUUGUCAUAUUGCCACACUCUGGUGGUAUCAUUUUGCUAUUGCGAAGCACUUGAUAGAAGUAAGACAUAAAAUUUAGGAUAAAUGGACAUUUCUUAAUGGGAAAAGGUAAAGCAUCAGAGUUUUCCCACAGAUUUCACCUUUUUAAUAAUGAACUUAAAGAAAAAACGUGCUGAAAAUUUUUAAGUGGCAGGUACUCCUUGAUAAAAACAAGACAUUGCAAGUUUC
rnacentral:lncRNA from 1 species